AGCGGGCACUCUGAGCGGCAGUUCGGCGCGUUUUUCUGUUCAAUUUUUUUUUGCGUUCAAUUUGUGCUUAAAUUUUGUGUUUUGUGAACUUAUACAAAUGGAUAUGUCUUACCCAAUGUCGUUUGAGAAGGAGGUAAUAGAGUACGAGACUCUUUGGGAGUUCUUGAAGAAAAUUAAAAUGGAAUCCGUGUUUGAGGACUUGAAAGCUGCUGAAGUAACAUACGACCGCUUGAAGUUUAUGAUCCCUGAGGAUGUCAGAGACACCAUUCGUAAAGUAGGCCCUCGUGCCGAAUUCCGUGAAAGAAUUUUGAGGAUGAAACGGACAGAGGUAAAUAAAUUUUGGAAGCAUUAAGGGAUACACGGACUUUAGAGUACAACACAAAAAUUUGGACCAACUUAUUAAUCGCUCCCCUGAGGGACUGACUGUGCUUCAGUCUUUCAAAACUAAACUUUCGUUAAGUCAAGAAGAGAGAGAUGUGAUGGUGAAACUUCUCAUAGGAGAAGCUGAGACCAAUCGCAAUGCCAUCAAAAUGCAAACAUUAAGCACUUUACUUGACGAAAUAGUAACUGUAUUUCCAACUGAAGAAUCCAGGAAGAUUUUUAAAGCUUUGGAAACGCAUCCUCUAUUUUUUUGGCCCGGAUGGAGCUCCAAAGCAUUUGCAUAACGAUACCAUUCGUAAUUACUAAAUAAGUUUUCACAACAGUAUAAAAUAUAUAAAAUAACAUUUAAUCUCGUAA